rnacentral:misc_RNA from 1 species
UCUUGAUGUUCCUGAGCCAUGGCUCGUUGAGCCUGUAGUUGCUGUCCAUGACCUAGAUAAUAUGUUGCUUGAAAACCUGGGAGAGACUAGGACACUCCAAGCAGUGUAUGAACUUGAAGCACUAGUCCUGACAGGUCAUUGCUCUGAGAAGGAUCAGGAGCCUCCUAGAGGACUUCAGCUAAUCCUAGGCACUAAAAGUACACCUCACUUGGUUGACACACUUGUCAUGGCCAAUUUGGGUUACUGGCAAAUGAAAGCGUUUCCUGGAGUUUGGUACCUGCAGCUUGCUCCUGGUCGAAGCUCAGAGCUUUAUGCUUUGAAAGAUGAUGGUGAUGGUGGUCAGGAGACAACUUUGUCAAAACGGAUCAUUAUAGAUGAUUUGCGUGGUAAACUUGUUCACAUGGAAGUGAUUAAGAAAAAGGGCAAGGAACAUGAAAAACUGUUGGUUUCAGCUGAUGAAGAUAGCCAUUCACAAGAGAAGAAAAAGGGAAACCAGAACAGUUGGAAUUCUAAUAUUCUUAAAUGGGCUUCUGGAUUUAUUGGUGGCAGUGACCAAUCAAAGAAGAGUAAAAACACUCCAGUGGUAACCGGUGGUCGUCAUGGGAAGACGAUUAACAUAUUCUCUGUUGCUUCUGGACACUUAUAUGAACGCUUCCUAAAAAUUAUGAUACUAAGUGUUCUAAAGAAUACUCAACGGCCAGUGAAGUUCUGGUUCAUAAAAAACUAUUUGUCUCCUCAGUUCAAGGAUGUAAUCCCUCAUAUGGCUCGAGAAUAUGGUUUUGAAUAUGAACUAAUUACCUACAAAUGGCCUACAUGGUUGCACAAACAAAAGGAGAAGCAAAGAAUCAUUUGGGCAUAUAAAAUUCUAUUUCUUGAUGUCAUUUUCCCCCUGGCACUGGAGAAGGUUAUCUUCGUAGACGCAGACCAAAUUGUAAGAACUGACAUGGGAGAACUUUAUGACAUGGAUUUGAAAGGACGGCCACUUGCAUACACACCUUUCUGUGAUAACAACAGGGAGAUGGAUGGCUAUCGUUUUUGGAAACAAGGCUUCUGGAAAGAGCAUUUACGAGGAAGACCAUAUCAUAUUAGUGCUCUAUAUGUUGUCGAUCUGCUUAAAUUCCGGGAGACUGCUGCUGGAGAUAAUUUACGAGUGUUUUAUGAGACACUGAGCAAGGAUCCAAACAGUCUUUCAAAUCUGGAUCAGGAUCUCCCAAACUAUGCUCAGCAUACUGUACCCAUCUUUUCACUCCCACAAGAAUGGCUUUGGUGUGAGUCAUGGUGUGGUAAUGCAACAAAGCCCAAGGCAAAAACAAUAGACCUCUGCAAUAAUCCCAUGACAAAAGAACCCAAGCUUCAGGGCGCCAAGAGGAUUGUGGCAGAGUGGCCAGAACUUGACUAUGAAGCUAGACGCGUUACUGCAAAGAUCUUGGGUGAAGACUUUGAUCCCCAAGACCAGGCAGCACCUCCUGCUGAAACACAAAAAACCAUCAGCGAUACUCCAUUAGAAGAUGAGGAAUCCAAGUCAGAACUGUGAAUUUGAUGCUAGGCAAGUAUUCCUGGUGCUUAGACACCCCUUCUUAUCGGAUACAUUCACUUUGUGGUGCAUCUCAGCUGCCAUUGUAAAAAGGCUAAGAACAGUGUCUGUUGAGAUUGUCAAUUGAGGCAGAGACUUAGAAAAAUUGAUUAGCUAAGGCGGCCUUAAAUGCACGUUUACGUACCAAUUUUGCAAUUUGAUCUGCCCUUAGUUGUUAGUAGAGAGGCAGACUUGACAUCUCAUAUGGAUAGAUAGCUGCAGAAGAUUCUUGGUAAUAUAUCAUACUUACUAUGUGCUACUCUCCACAGAUUGGGCAGUUAGGAAACAACUUUCAAGAUCUUUUAUUGUUGAAAGUUGGAACAUUCUGCAUUUUUGAUAUGUAACAUUGAGGUCUCACCUACAUUCCAGUAACUUUUAAAGGUUUGAGCAGUUAAAUUACUACAUCCCUCCCCAACCUAUGUCAGUGGGAAUCAACACGUACAGUCAAUUUGAACAAACUUCAAUUUUUG